rnacentral:rRNA from 1 species
AUAGGNAUUGUCUCCUGCGUGAGCGGACGAAAACAACAACACCUAAAAUGUGGAAUAUAGCAUAUAGUCGACAAGAGAAAUCUACGAAAAACAAACAAAACUUUCAACAACGGAUCUCUUGGUUCUCGCAUCGAUGAAGAGCGCAGCGAAAUGCGAUACCUAGUGUGAAUUGCAGCCAUCGUGAAUCAUCGAGUUCUUGAACGCACAUUGCGCCCCUCGGCAUUCCGGGGGGCAUGCCUGUUUGAGCGUCGUUUCCAUCUUGCGCGUGCGCAGAGUUGGGGGAGCGGAGCGGACGACGUGUAAAGAGCGUCGGAGCUGCGACUCGCCUGAAAGGGAGCGAAGCUGGCCGAGCGAACUAGACUUUUUUUCAGGGACGCUUGGCGGCCGAGAGCGAGUGUUGCGAGACAACAAAAAGCUCGACCUCAAAUCAGGUAGGAAUACCCGCUGAACUUAAGCAUAUCAAUAAGCGGAGGAAAAGAAACCAACAGGGAUUGCCUCAGUAGCGGCGAGUGAAGCGGCAAGAGCUCAGAUUUGAAAUCGUGCUUUGCGGCACGAGUUGUAGAUUGCAGGUUGGAGUCUGUGUGGAAGGCGGUGUCCAAGUCCCUUGGAACAGGGCGCCCAGGAGGGUGAGAGCCCCGUGGGAUGCCGGCGGAAGCANUGAGGCCCUUCUGACNAGUCNAGUUGUUUGGGAAUGCAGCUCCNANCGGGUGGUAAAUUCC